rnacentral:rRNA from 1 species
CUUAACACAUGCAAGUCGAGGGGAAACGGCAUUGGGUGCUUGCACUCUUUGGACGUCGACCGGCGCACGGGUGAGUAACGCGUAUCCACCUUCCCAUUACUGUGGGAUAACCUGCCGAAAGGCAGACUAAUACCGCAUAGUCUUCGAUGACGGCAUCAGAUUUGAAGUAAAGAUUUAUCGGUAAUGGAUGGGGAUGCGUCUGAUUAGCUUGUUGGCGGGGUAACGGCCCACCAAGGCGACGAUCAGUAGGGGUUCUGAGAGGAAGGUCCCCCACAUUGGAACUGAGACACGGUCCAAACUCCUACGGGAGGCAGCAGUGAGGAAUAUUGGUCAAUGGACGGAAGUCUGAACCAGCCAAGUAGCGUGCAGGAUGACGGCCCUAUGGGUUGUAAACUGCUUUUGUAUGGGGAUAAAGUUAGGGACGUGUCCCUAUUUGCAGGUACCAUACGAAUAAGGACCGGCUAAUUCCGUGCCAGCAGCCGCGGUAAUACGGAAGGUCCAGGCGUUAUCCGGAUUUAUUGGGUUUAAAGGGAGCGUAGGCUGGA